GACGAACGCUGGCGGCGUGCUUAACACAUGCAAGUCGAACGGAAAGGCCCUGCUUUUGUGGGGUGCUCGAGUGGUGAACGGGUGAGUAACACGUGAGUAACCUGCCCUUGACUUUGGGAUAACUUCAGGAAACUGGGGCUAAUACCGGAUAGGAGCUCCUGCUGCAUGGUGGGGUUGGAAAGUUUCGGCGGUUGGGGAUGGACUCGCGGCUUAUCAGCUUGUUGGUGGGGUAGUGGCUUACCAAGGCUUUGACGGGUAGCCGGCCUGAGAGGGUGACCGGCCACAUUGGGACUGAGAUACGGCCCAGACUCCUACGGGAGGCAGCAGUGGGGAAUAUUGCACAAUGGGCGGAAGCCUGAUGCAGCAACGCCGCGUGCGGGAUGACGGCCUUCGGGUUGUAAACCGCUUUCGCCUGUGACGAAGCGUGAGUGACGGUAAUGGGUAAAGAAGCACCGGCUAACUACGUG
rnacentral:rRNA from 1 species